rnacentral:misc_RNA from 1 species
AACUUAUCAACCUUUCUGGCUUUUGUUAAGUCGGAAAGGCUUGGAUGUGGGGGCUUGUGGGCUAUUUCUUUUUGAAAGGGCUGACUCCUCUUAAAUUUAUUAGUAGGACCUUUAUGGAACCAGAUUUCUUGGUGUGAUAAUUAUCUACGCCAUGAAUAGGUCUAUAUAAUGAGGUUCUGCUUCUAACUGUCCAUUGACUUGGACUAGAUUCUAUAUUGACAU